rnacentral:rRNA from 1 species
GACAGAGGGUGCAAACGUUGUUCGGAAUUACUGGGCGUAAAGCGCGUGUAGGCGGCCAUGCAAGUCAGACGUGAAAUCCCUCGGCUUAACCGGGGAACUGCGUCUGAUACUGGAUGGCUUGAGUUCGGGAGAGGGAUGCGGAAUUCCAGGUGUAGCGGUGAAAUGCGUAGAUAUCUGGAGGAACACCGGUGGCGAAGGCGGCAUCCUGGACCGACACUGACGCUGAGGAGCGAAAGCCAGGGGAGCAAACGGG